GUGCGCGGAAGGAUACGCUCCGAGACACACCCCUUUUGGGAAGAAAGACGGGAGACCGCGGUCCGAGUUCUUUUGUAGAUUUUACAACAAAAGAGAAUAAAAUUGUAUGCCACAACUGUACAAUAUAUGAACGACAUAGCGUACUUUAUGUUUAAAGGGAUUAGACAAAAAUGCAUGCCUGUUGAGCACUGAGCGAUCGGCAGGGAGUAAUUGGGCGACCAGGUCACUGGAGCCCUACGGGGCCGCAGGACUACAAAGGCUAUUACAAUUUAGGGUAUAAACGGGUUAUUAACAGAUAUGCCUAAAGAUAGCCAUACGUGGUGCGAGAAGAGGCGCGAGGCAAGGCGCGAGGCAACCCGCCGUGCACGAGCAGCAGAGACAGACGAAGCACGAAACGCACGCCUAGCUAAGAAUCGGAUGAGCUUGAGCCGUGCGCGAGCCGAGGAGACCCCAGAGCAACGAGCGGAGCGUCGGGCAACACACGCCGUGCGCCGUCGGCAAGCAAGAGCCAAGGAAACACCGGAGAUGCGAACAGAGCGUCGGGCAAGGGACGCCAUGCGCAUGCGGGAAGUUAGGGCAAAGGAAACACCAGAGAUGCGAGCGGAGCGUCGAGCAAGGAAUGCCUUGCGCUGUCGGGAAGCGAGGGCAAAGGAAACACCGGAGAUGCGAGCGGACCGUCGGGCAAGAGACACCAUGCAACAUCAGGAUAUGAGGGCAGAGGACCUGUCGGAGAUGCAAGUGGAGCCGACUAGUGCCGGCACUAGUUUAAACAAUAUAGACAUUUAUACCUAAAUGCAGAUGUUUUGGUUUACUCACAAUUCACAUUUGAAUUGCGUAUUUAUUUAGUUGUUUUUCUACAGUUUCACUAUUGAUUUAUGAAUGCAUACAAUUGCAUCUUAUUAAAGGCACAACUAAGAUGA